UUGACAAAGGGUUUGCCUAUUAUAAGUCUCAAUUUCUACAACUAUAGUAUGUGGGCGUCCAGCCAUGAACAUUGAUGUCAGUACCUUUGAAAAGCCACAGUUUCCCCUCCUCAGCCCUCCGGGAACAGAAAGGUGCACUGCAAUCCACAAGACAGCCCGGGAAGCAUCCUCAGCUGGAGGCCAUGGUCAAGGGCGGGUCGCUCUGCCCUCUCCUCCAUCCCCCAAAGAGG